rnacentral:snRNA from 1 species
GGAUGUGAGGGCGAUCUGGCUGUGACAUCUGUCACCCCAUUGAUCGCCAGGGUUGAUUCGGCUGAUCUGGCUGGUUAGGCGGGUGUCCCCUUCCUCCCUCACUGCUCCAUGUGCGUCCCUCCCGAAGCUGCGCGCUCGGUGGAGGAGGACGACGUCCCAGGUAUAGAAGGAGUGUACCGAGGUCUCCAGUCUUCGGUCCCGGGUAUACGAUAGCUGCGCUCCCCUGCUAGAACCUCCAAACAAGCUCAAGGUCCACUCACACACACGUAUAUCUCUGUGUAUAUAUAUGUCUAUAUCUAGAAAUAACGGCGCUCCAU